GUAGUUGAACCUUGGGCCUGGCUGGCCGGUCCGCCUCACCGCGUGUACUGGUCCGGCCGGGCCUUUCCCUCUGUGGAACCCCAUGCCCUUCACUGGGCGUGGCGGGGAAACAGGACUUUUACUGUGAAAAAAUUAGAGUGCUCCAGGCAGGCCUAUGCUCGAAUACAUUAGCAUGGAAUAAUAGAAUAGGACGUGUGGUUCUAUUUUGUUGGUUUCUAGGACCGCCGUAAUGAUUAAUAGGGACAGUCGGGGGCAUCAGUAUUCAAUUGUCAGAGGUGAAAUUCUUGGAUUUAUUGAAGACUAACUACUGCGAAAGCAUUUGCCAAGGAUGUUUUCAUUAAUCAGGAACGAAAGUUAGGGGAUCGAAGACGAUCAGAUACCGUCGUAGUCUUAACCAUAAACUAUGCCGACUAGGGAUCGGACGGUGUUAUUUUUUGACCCGUUCGGCACCUUACGAGAAAUCAAAGUGCUUGGGCUCCAGGGGGAGUAUGGUCGCAAGGCUGAAACUUAAAGAAAUUGACGGAAGGGCACCACCAGGGGUGGAGCCUGCGGCUUAAUUUGACUCAACACGGGGAAACUCACCAGGUCCAGACACAAUAAGG
rnacentral:rRNA from 2 species